rnacentral:rRNA from 1 species
GAUGAACGCUGGCGGCGUGCCUAAUACAUGCAAGUCGAGCGGACAAAUCGAAAGCUUGCUCCUGUUUCGUUAGCGGCGGACGGGUGAGUAACACGUGGGUAACCUGCCUUUUAGACGGGGAUAACAUCGAGAAACCGGAGCUAAUACCGGAUAAUAUGUAGAACCGCAUGGUUCUUUGUUGAAAGACGGCGCAACUUUCCGUUACAGGUGGAUCCGCGGCGCAUUAGCUAGUUGGUAAGGUAACGGCUUACCAAGGCGACGAUGCGUAGCCGACCUGAGAGGGUGAUCGGCCACACUGGAACUGAGACACGGCCCAGACUCCUACGGGAGGCAGCAGUAGGGAAUCUUCCGCAAUGGGCGAAAGUCUGACGGAGCAACGCCGCGUGAGCGAUGAAGGCCUUCGGAUCGUAAAGCUCUGUUGUUAGGGAAGAACAAGUAUCGAAGUAACUGGGGUUACCGUGACGGUACCUAAUGAGAAAGCCACGGCUAACUACGUG